UAAAGGUUUGGUCCUGGCCUCAGUAUUAAUUGUAACCAAAAUUAUACAUGCAAGUUUCAGCAUCCCUGUGAGAAUGCCCUAACUACUCUAUCAAUUGGUUAGGGGCGGGUAUCAGGCACACAUGCACGUAGCCCAAGACACCUUGCUAAGCCACACCCCCANNGAUUUCAGCAGUAAUAAAUAUUGAUCAUAUGAGCGCAAGCUCGAAUCAGUUAAAGUUAACAGAGUUGGUUAAUCUCGUGCCAGCCGCCGCGGUUAUACGAGUAACUCAUAUUAAUAUUUCCCGGCGUAAAGAGUGAUUUAAGGAAUAUCUACCAAUAACUAAAGUUAAGACCUUAUCAAGCUGUCACACGCACCCACAAGCGGAAUUGUCAACAACGAAAGUGACUUUAUUAUCCCUAGAAAUCUUGAUGUCACGACAGUUAGACCCCAAACUAGGAUUAGAUACCCUACUAUGUCUAACCACAAACUUAAACAAUAACUCACUACAUUGUUCGCCAGAGUACUACAAGCGCUAGCUUAAAACCCAAAGGACUUGGCGGUGUCCCAAACCCACCUAGAGGAGCCUGUUCUGUAACCGAUAAUCCCCGUUAAACCUCACCACUUCUAGCCAUCCCCGUCUAUAUACCGCCGUCGUCAGCUCACCCUGUGAAGGCCUAAAAGUAAGCAAAAAGAACUAACUUCCAUACGUCAGGUCGAGGUGUAGCGAAUGAAGUGGGUAGAAAUGGGCUACAUUUUCUAUAAAGAAAACACGAAUGGCAAACUGAAAAAUUGCCUAAAGGUGGAUUUAGCAGUAAGAAAAGACUAGAGAGCUUCUCUGAAACCGGCUCUGGGACGCGCACACACCGCCCGUCACUCUCCUCAAAAAAAUCUACUUAUUUUUAAUUAAAGAAAAUACAUCAAGAGGAGGCAAGUCGUAACAUGGUAAGUGUACUGGAAAGUGCACUUGGAAU
rnacentral:ncRNA from 1 species